AUUGAACGCUGGCGGCAGGUCUAACACCUGCAAGUCGAACGAAUGGCGGACGGGUGAGUAAUGUCUGGGAAACUGCCCGAUGGAGGGGGAUAACUACUGGAAACGGUAGCUAAUACCGCAUACCCUCGGAUGUGCCCAGAGGGGAUUAGCUAGUAGGUGGGGUAACGGCUCACCUAGGCGACGAUCCCUAGCUGGUUUGAGAGGAUGACCAGCCACACUGGAACUGAGACACGGUCCAGACUCCUACGGGAGGCAGCAGUGGGGAAUAUUGCACAAUGGGCGCAAGCCUGAUGCAGCCAUGCCGCGUGUAUGAAGAAGGCCUUCGGGUUGUAAAGUACUUUCAGCGAGGAGGCGUUACUCGCAGAAGAAGCACCGGCUAACUCCGUGCCAGCCGCCGCGUUAAUUC
rnacentral:rRNA from 1 species